GUUUCCGUAGGUGAACCUGCGGAAGGAUCAUUAAAUAGUACCACAGAUUACAUAUGCAAAUAUGACAAUCUACUACUAUAUACCAUUCCGAGUACUCUUCUUCCACGUUGCUUCCGCGAGGCAGUCACUUCAAGUGGCCGUUUGCUCCGGAUCUCCCUUCUUGGAGAGCCGGCUGUGAGCGAGAUUUCCUUGCGAAAGGUCAAUUACAAAUCCAAUUAUGUUUUUAUUUUGUGUCUGAAUAGAUUUUUUUCUUCUUUCUUUUUUUAAUUAAUAAAUACAAAAAAAAUAAAAUAAAAUACAAAACUUUCAACAACGGAUCUCUUGGUUCUC
rnacentral:misc_RNA from 1 species